UGUCUCAUAUAAUCUAAAAUUUGCAUCUGCUAUUUUUGUGAUUGUUUAGGCCAAAACAGAGUUGGUUUCCGACGUUUCACAUGUUUAUAGGAACCUGGGACUGCAUCUCCAUCGGUCUACAGAGCCGGUUUCUGUGAUUACAUUU
rnacentral:snoRNA from 1 species